rnacentral:rRNA from 1 species
CCACUUCAUCUAUUUGCUGCUUAUGACCAAGAUAAGUUGGUUAGACUUGCUACAAAGUUUUAUGCUUCUGAUUUUACAAGUGAUGAACUGGCAAGACUUUCAUGGCAACUAAACAUGUAUGUUAUUAAUGUGCGUAGAGAUGAAAGGUUUCAAAACCUGAAAAAUCUGUGUCAGCUUUCAGUUAUGCUUGUUGAGACAAACAAGCAUGAACAAUAUCAUAUUGUUUACAAGCUUCUUAAGUUGGUAUUGAUUCUGCCAGUAGCUAUUGCUAGUGUUGAAAGGGUGUUCUCUUCAAUGAGC